rnacentral:sRNA from 1 species
GCCAAGUGCAGUGGUGCACACCUGUAAUCCCAGCAGCUCAGGAGGCUGAGGCAGGAGGAUUACACAUUCAAAGCCAACCUUAGCAGCUUAGUGAAACCCUGUCUCUG